AAGUAAAAGUCGUAACAAGGUUUCCGUAGUGGACCUGCGAAGGAUCAUUAAUAAAUUUUUUUAGGUUGAAAUACGAAACCUAAAAAUAAUAAUCUACCUCUGUGAAUUUGUUGUUUGAAAUAAUUUUUAAAAAAUUAUUUAUAGUUUUUGUCUAUCCUGAGUUGUAAGAGAAGUGAAAUUCUUUGAAAGCUUAGGGAAUAGGCUUAUCUAUAAAUAAUGAUUUUAAAGACUUUUUUUAAAUUAAACUUUUUGUAUUCUUUUGUCUAAAUUUAUUUUAAUAAUUUAAAAACAACUUUGACAAUGGAUCUCUUGUUCUCGCAACGAUGAAGAACGCAGCAAAAUGCGAUAAUAAUGUGAAUUGCAGAAUACGUGAAUCAUCAAAUCUCGAACGCAUAUUGCACUUUUUUAGUUACUAAAAAGUAUGUCUGUUUGAGUAUCAGCAAAAUAUUCUCAUAAAAAUUUAUUUUUUAUGGUUUUGAGUGUUUUACAACGAUACAAGUUGUUUCACUUUAAAUUGACUUUAAAUUGCCAUUAAUUUAGUCAAUUUUUAAAAUUGCAUAAAAUUUUCCCGUAAAAAGAAUAACCUAUCAAUUUUAAAAUUAACUGAUAUUAAAGGCCUUAUAAAGGAAAUUUAAUUAAAUAACUUGAUCUCAAAUCAGAUAAGAUACCGCUGAACUUAAGCAUAUCAAUAAGCGGAGGAAAAGAAACUAAAGGAUCCCCUAGUAGGCGAGUGAAGCGGAAGAGCUCAAAUUUGAAAUCUUCAAGUUUGACCUUGACGAAUUGUAGUUUAAAGAAGUGUUUUCGUUAGAGAGUGGUAAAAGUUCUUGAAUAGGACAUCAUAGAGGUGAGAAUCCCGUAUUUGACAUUCUUUCUAGCUUUGUGAUACACUUUCAAAGAGUCGGAUUGUUUGGGAAUGCAGUCCAAAAUGGGUGUAAAUUUCAUCUAAAGCUAAAUAUUGGCGAGAGACGAUAGCGAACAAGUACGUGAGGAAGAUAAAAGAACUUUGAAAAGAGUUAACAGUACGUGAAAUUGUCAAAAGGGAAGCGUUUGACACAGUGUUGUUUUCCGAAAAUCAAUUAAAAUAUUCAUGCAGUUGUAUUGACCUUAUCAGCUUGCAAUUUGGUUUUGGUUCUUUUUGAUGCACUUUUCGUUAACAAGUCAACAUCAAUUUCUUUGCUGUAAAAGGCAGAAGGAAGGUGCUUCAAUUUCGGUGAAGUGUUUAUAGCCUUUGUUCUGCAGUCGGGAGAUUGAGUCUGCAGCGUAGAUCCUUCGGGUUAAUACAUUCGUGCUAAGUUAUAGCCUUUUAUAGACAACUUGUUGACUAUGAUCGGUCCUGUAAUUUACUCGCGAGUGCUAUUUACCUACGCUUAGGAUGUUGAA
rnacentral:misc_RNA from 1 species